AGUCGAGGGGUAUGGUUCUUCGGAACCAGAGACCGGCGCACGGGUGCGUAACGCGUAUGCAAUCUGCCUUUCACAGAGGGAUAGCCCAGAGAAAUUUGGAUUAAUACCUCAUAGUAUAGCGACAUCGCAUGAUGAUGCUAUUAAAGUCACAACGGUGAAAGAUGAGCAUGCGUCCCAUUAGCUAGUUGGUAAGGUAACGGCUUACCAAGGCAACGAUGGGUAGGGGUCCUGAGAGGGAGAUCCCCCACACUGGUACUGAGACACGGACCAGACUCCUACGGGAGGCAGCAGUGAGGAAUAUUGGUCAAUGGGCGCAAGCCUGAACCAGCCAUGCCGCGUGCAGGAUGACGGUCCUAUGGAUUGUAAACUGCUUUUGCACAGGAAGAAACACUGAUUCGUGAAUCAGCUUGACGGUACUGUGAGAAUAAGGAUCGGCUAACUUCGUGCCAGCAGCCGCGGUAAUACGGAGGAUCCAAGCGUUAUCCGGAAUCAUUGGGUUUAAAGGGUCCGUAGGCGGUCUGGUAAGUCAGUGGUGAAAGCCCAUCGCUCAACGGUGGAACGGCCAUUGAUACUGCUGGACUUGAAUUAUUAGGAAGUAACUAGAAUAUGUAGUGUAGCGGUGAAAUGCUUAGAGAUUACAUGGAAUACCAAUUGCGAAGGCAGGUUACUACUAAUGGAUUGACGCUGAUGGACGAAAGCGUGGGUAGCGAACAGGAUUAGAUACCCUGGUAGUCCACGCCGUAAACGAUGGAUACUAGCUGUUGGAAGCAAUUUCAGUGGCUAAGCGAAAGUGAUAAGUAUCCCACCU
rnacentral:rRNA from 1 species